AUUAUAUUGACACAGGGGUUGCAGCGUCUUCGAUGGUGCAUCUAGAGGUGGUGCACGGUGACAACGAGGUAGAGCUUUGAAGUGAUCCUGAAAUGAAAUGCAUAGAUGUCUCAUUUGCGAAUGUUGGCGCGGUGACAAAACUCAGACGAGUUGGUGGUUAUAGUGGCCCUCUUGUCAGUUCCUAGCAUGAUUCGACAUUUGGCGAGCAGAUGGCCGUCUGCAAGUCUGAAAAUGAGUGUAGCAUUGUUCGGAUCAAUUUAGUCCAGCAGGUUCUCUUCAGUAUAGUUAAAUUGAAAAUACUGGUAGAAGAAAGCAAUUUAUUUACAUGGACAGAAGUUGUUCUGCGAUAUGGAAGAUAAGAGCGUGUUCUAUGGAUAUUAAUGGUGAUAGCAAAGUACUGUUCUUGACUACAGGUCUUGAGGACCCAAAUUUAUGAAUGCUCAAGUAAAAUGGCUGAUGAAAGAGUAAAGAGAAGUCAAUAUUUCUGGUGUCCAGUCGAUGAUUUGAGUAUGUACAGCCUAGUGUAUGAACAAAGAACAAACGAAUGAAAAAAUGGUAAUCUAGAAAAGAUAAAGUAGAAAUUUCAAAAGUGGCAGGAGAAAAAUAACAACAGACCAGGUGUUGAUCUAUCUGGUAUACAGUGAGAAAGGGAACAUAAUUGGUAUUUGUAAGAUGACUAAACUGCUGACUAUUAAGUAGUAUGAAUAAAACAAGAAUUUUUUAUAUGUUAAGCAUGGAUAGAACAAUAGUAUAAAUAAGAAAAUCUGUAUGCAACUUUCGUUCGUAUCAUCACAAAAUUACAGUUGUAAAUGUAAUUAAAAUGCAUAAGAAAACAACAUUGUAUAUCCUGUAAAAUGGCUGGUGAAGCUCAUGAACAGAUUCUCGUCUAUAUCUUGUGCAUUUGUUCGUAUUACAUGGAUGAAAAAUAUGAGAUGUAAAAGACAUCAACCUACAAUACACCUCUUCCAGAUUUAGUACCAACUUAAAUACAAGAAUGAAGAUCUGGUCUAAAGAGAGUGCCAAUUCUAAGUUCGUGGAGAAUACAUGCAUACCCAGUGUACAUUGUGAGCAAUCAUCAUAUAUCAAUCAUGCAAAAAAUGCAAUCACAUACACACACGUUUAUUUUCAUCAGCACAACACAGUGAUCCCAUGUAAUCAACGAUACUUGUUGUCACAGCCCUUGCCUGACUCUGCAUAAGCAUUCAUGCAUCAUGUCUAAAUUCAAAUGAAAUUUUGAAUUGGGGAUGUUCAAACCCUAGCAGAUAAUAAUUUUAACUAGGUUCAAUUCAAAUAUUUUCAUUGGACCCAAAAUGCCCUCCAAAAAUGUUCAUUAUUUCUGGGAAAAGGUUAAAACCUUAAUCAGAGGUCAUGCACAUUUUUCCAAUGCAUUUAUGGUUUUUGAAUUAAUUCAUAAUUGUAUUUGAGUUGGAGCAAAUAAAUUCUAUAAAUAUUUUCAUUGCUCCAAUAAUCCUGGAAUAUUUUGUGGAGCUCUAGGAUAAACCUUAAUGCAUCCACAAUAAUUUCCAGAGAGCUGCAAAAUAAUUUGGUUAAGAAACCAAAUUAAAACAAAAACUGCAAAAUAGAAAACAGAAAUUAAAUUAGAGGAGAGAGAGAGACCUACCUGGCGCCUACCUGUGCGGCCUGCUGCAGAAGCCGGCCCACCCCAUCUCCACUUUCCCCUGUCGUCUUCCCCGCGCCAGUAGGCAGCGCGCGUGGCCGACGGGCGCCGACGCUGCCUCGGCCACCUCCUGCUUCCCCGGCCACCUCCUGCUUCCCCGGCCCCUUCUAACGACGUCUGGAGGCGCCACGCAGCCCCCUGGUCCCUCUCGCUCACUCCCUCGAGCUCAUCCCCCUCCUCUGUUCUCUCUCUCGCACGCAGCCACCGAACCCACCCGCCACCGCCGUUCGUUGCCGCUGUGGCCACAGCCACUGCCUCGCCCCGCCGAUGCUCUCAGAGGCGCCACCGCCACCUACUCUCCCUCCUCUCCGAGCUACAUGAGCCAGGACGGCCCCAAGACGACGCUUGCGGCCUUCUUCUCCGACCACGGCCGCCGGAUGCCGCCGUCCGAUUCGCCGUCUCCAUCGCCUCCCCGAGCACGCCGACCUUCUCUUCGAACUCACCGUGAGCCCCUGUCCAUUUCCCCUCUCUCCCCGUGCCCGUCCGCGCCUUCUAACCACCGUGGCUGUCGAAGCCGACAGUUCCUCGCCGCUGGCGAUGACGCAGAUGAGGCUAGAGCCACCGUAGCUAACUCCCGAGCACGGCAACGUGCUCAGCACUCUUCCAGGAGCCGGGCGCGCCCACCCGUGCGACCUGCCAUGCCCCCUAGCGCCAACCCCGACCUCGCCCGUGCUCCGGCCGCCGCCUUGUUCGCCGCCGUCGCCAAGUCCGACCUCCCCAGCACGAACGGAUGCCACGAUUCGAUGCGCGCGAGCCUGGGCAUCCCGUAGAGCCCCUCCGCCGCUCUUUUGGUCAUCGGAGGGCGAAUCCCGACGCUCUCCGCCGUCCCUGGCCUCGCCGGCGACGAGCCUCGGGUCAACUCCGGCGAGUUUGACCCGGGUUUGACCCCAGUUUGACUCCCCCUGACUCAAUGACAGGUGGGGCCCAGCUCUGUUAGUUAAUUAGGAUUAGUACUAAUUGAAUUAGUUAAACUAAUUACCCCUGCUGACACUGACAGUGGGCCCCGUGGCUAUUAAUUUGAUUAGUUAGAAUUAAUUAACUUUGUUAGUCACUUGUGUCACUGACGUGUGGACCCCGCUGGUCAGGUUUGACCCGGACCAGCCCCUGUUGACCUGUGACGUCAUGCCAACGUCAUGCUGACGCAAUAAUUCCUUUCUGGAAUUUAAAUAAAUCUUAAAUGAUUUAAUAUUUUCAGAAAAUGUCCAAAACUUCUAAAAAUCAUAUAAAAUCAACCGUAACUCCAAAUGAGAUAAAUUAUAUAUGAAAAAUUAUCAGAAAAAUUCAAGGAACCCAUCUGUACCAUUUUCAUGCAUGUUUGAACAAUGUUUGUCCUCUGUUUUGGACAAAACAAAUAAAGGGCAUUUAAAUAACCAUAUAUGGAGUUGGAAUUUGAAUCAUGUAUUCGAACCAACUUCAUUUAAAUCAUAGCUAGGUGCAUUAGCCCAAAACACAUUCAUAUUGCCAUGUCAUAGCAUGCAUCAUAUUGUGCAUUGCAUUGAUCGUGUUUCUUCUGUGUUUGCCGGUGUUGUUCCCCCUCGAUAGACGUUGCACCGAUGAUGUGAUCGUUGACACUGAUGAAGACUCAAUGCUAUCUUCAAAAGUGCCAGGCAAGCAAACCCCCCCUUGUUCAUUCCGAUACAAUCCUACUCUCUCGCUCCUGCUCUCUUUUACUGCAUUACGACAACAACGAUUCAUCUGUUACUUGCUGCGGUAGCUGAACCCCUUUAUCCUCUGCAUGACCUGUCAUUGCCACAGUAAAUAGAUGAAACCCACUAGCAUGAGUAGGAGUUGUUUGAGCCUGUUGUGCCUACUCAUUCAUGCUUGUUUGUCAUGCCUGCUACUGCUUAGAGUUGAGUCAGGUCUGAUCCAUCGGGGAUGAAUUGGAGGUGUGUAAACACGUCCUUCUGUGUGUGAGCUAAGUGUGUGAACACGAUUUGGUAAAGGUAGCGGUGAGAGGCCAUGUAGGAGUACAUGGUGGGUUGUCUCAUUGCAGCCGUCCUCAGGAACUGAGUUCUGUGUUUGUGAUCCAUGAUUCAGCUACUACCACGCAUUGGGCCCGAAACCAAUGGACCCUCUUGGCUUCUUAAUCACCCUUGUCCUCUGUCCAGGAGUUGCAAGUAGUUUCUGGUGUUUGUAGUAUGCUGGAGGUCGUGGGCAGCGCUGACCGGAGGGGUGGGCUGUGAUGCGGUAGGCACGUGGCACGGUGUACCGGGCGCCCGUUUGGUGUCUCGGGAACCCUGUUCACAUUGUUUGGGGCUGUGAGCGAAACCCCGGCCGGAUCUCCUCAUGGAUGGAACCCGAAUAGGCGAUAAACCUGGACUAGAGACUUGAGUGAUUAGGUAGGUCGUGGCCGACACCCACUUUGGGCUUCCGCUUGAAGGUUGCCGAGUACAUGUCGUGUAAACGGCGGUAAGUGGUGAGAGCGUGUGUGAAGAAGUACACCCCUGCAGGGUUAACAUCAUCUAUUCGAAUAGCCGUGUCCGCGGCAAAGGACUUCUUGGUUGCUUAUAUCAGUUCAUAGACAAGUGAAAGUGGAUACUUUAAAAUACGCAAGAUAAGCGUGAGUGCUACGGAUGGCGUUCUCGUAGGGAGACGGGAGCGGAUCCAUAGUGGUGUAUUGAUAUGGUGAAUAUGUGGACUCGUGUGCGCCACCUCAAAAGAGUCACUUGCAGUCGUAGUUUAGGUUAGCCACCGAGUCAAAGCUGGCUUGCUGCAGUUAAACCCCACCAUCCCCUUUGUUGAUAAUGAUGCAUAUGUAGUUAGUUCUGAUGUAAGUCUUGCUGGGUACAUUUGUACUCACGUUUGCCUAUUUUAUGUUUUUGCAGAGAGACUUCAGUCUCACUAGUAGUUUCGCGUGGACUUCGACGUUUAGCUUGUUACCUCAGCUACGAUCUUGUGCCUCGGCAGGAUUUGGUAGAUAGUCAGGCUUCUCAGCCUUUUUCAUUUAUAGAUGUCUGUACUCAGACAUGAUAGCUUCCGCUUGUGUUUUGACUUGUAUGCUCUGAAUGUUGGGUUGUAGGACCCCUGUUUGUAAUAUCUCGCUCCUCGGAGCCUAAUGAAUAAAUACUUGAGUUGUAGAGUCAUGUUGUGAUGCCAUGUUGUAUUUGCACAUAUCGAGCAUAUUGUGUGUAUGUUAUUGAAAUGCUUGGUAUGUGUGGGAUCUGACUAUCUAGUUGUUUAUCUUUAGUAGCCUCUCUUACCGGGAAAUGUCUCCUAGUGUUUCCACCGAGCCAUGGUAGCUUGCUACUGCUCCGGAACACUUAGGCUGGCCGGCAUGUGUCCUUCUUCGUUGCUGUGUCUGUCCCCUCGGGGAAAUGUCACGCGAUGAAUACCGGAGUCCUGUUAGCCCGCUACAGCCCGGUUCACCGAAGUCCUGCUAGCCCAGUGCUACAGCCUGGAUUCACUCGCUGAUGACCGACACGUUCGAUGCUGGGUCAUGGAUGCCUGUCCCUGUAAGUUUGUGCCACUUUGGGUUUACGACUAGCCAAGUCAGCCCGGGCUCCUUAUCAUAUGGAUGCUAGCGACACUAUCAUAUACGUGUGCCAAAAGGCGCAAACGGUCCCGGGCAAAGGUAAGGCGACACCCGUGGAAUACCGUGCGUGAGGCCGCAAAGUGAUAUGAGGUGUUACAUGCUAGAUCGAUGUGGCAUUGAGUCGGGGUCCUGACAGCGUUGGUAUCAGAGCUUGACUGCCUGUAGGAUUACCAAGCCAAACUGGUCGAAGUUGAGUCUAGAAAUUCUUUAGUUAUGUAAGGGAAUUGAUUGUGGGAUGGAACGUAAGGCUCUUUUUACUCCUUAUACCUCAUGGCCCUCUGAUCUGAGUCAUCCUCUUCUCUUCUACGGGGACUAGGAACUAGGCUUUCUCUUCUUUCUAUCAGGAUCACGUGUUACUAAUCCGUAGACUUAUAAGAUUGUUGGAUUUAAGUUUGAGUUCAGUUCCUACGACUUCUGUAUGUUAACUGUUGAUCUCAAAACCUUGGUAUUGUGCUUCUGAGUGGCUAUGCCACCAUUUUUGUAGCAUGUCUCAAAUCUUUUUGAGCAUUUAUAGCCGUUAUGCUGUCCGAGUCAUCCCAGGUUUCUAAACAGUCUGAUGCAUUUGCAAAUCCUUUCUUCCCGUUCCCGAUGUCCUUUUGGUCAGAUUAAUCACACAAAUUAGUGAGUUGAGGUACUUUAUUGCCUCGACAUAUAUGUUGGAGUUAAUAAUUAUGACCCUAAGUGCUUAGGGGAUCAUCUAGUGGUUUAGCCAUGUUUUGUGUUCCCCGUGUGAUGAAUCUGGCCAUCAUUCUCGAAAGCAUCCCGUGAUGUUAUUAGUUAGUAGGUAUUCCAUUCCGGGGUUCUUGAACCCGAGAUUCACCCUUCUUACCUCAAGUUGAUAGUGUUUGCUAGUUUCUUUAGGAUAUUAGUAACCUUUGCGAUAGUCCUUGAGGUCCGUGGUAUUUCCUUCUUCCAAAUACUAUGAACCACUUAUGGAAGAAGUUUGUUGGAUUAAAGGAUCACAAUGGGAGUGCUCUCGAUGAGUUCUCCAUGCUAUAUUGUGACUCUGCCAGUCCUAACCUUCUGCAUGGGUUAUCCAGAAGAAAUAUGUUGAACUCGUUCGACAUGCUAAUCCAUGCAUCCACAACUCAGAAAGUCAUAUGUUCCUUUGAGUUGUCCCUCUUUGCUUGUCUUCUGACCCCGUCUAUCAAUUGAUAGUCAGGAGUAGUCGCGCAUCCGUGGUCAACGAUGCCUUUUACUUCUGUGGUCCGUCAAGCCAUUCUAUCCGGAAUGACUAGGAGAAACAAACUCCAGUACCUCAUCCAUAUCCAGGAUUGGGUCAAAGAAGUUGUGCUCUGCAGAUCAAAUUGCUAAUCCAGCUUUUGCUCUAUUCUACCUUGGAGUAUUACCAUCUUUUAUAUCGGGAUUAUUAUAGGAACUGCACACCAUCCUAUGAACUCUUGGUACAGUGAUACUUCUUGCCAUCAUUGUUCAUUCCUCGGUUCCUAUGUUAUUGUAACCGGAAUGCCGACAAGUGAAUCGUGGUGUGUGAAAUCAAUACUGCUAGCAACCUUGUUGCUUAGUAGUUAAAUGGACAAUAACCUCAUUCUUAACGUGUUGGUUCUUGAAUCAUCAUUCUAAGAUUGAUCGUGCUACCUUGUCCAUCUUCCUGGUGCACAUUUCGAUUGAUGAGUUAGGAUUUUGUGAAGUCCUCGCUCAUUUGAUCAUAUCGUCUUGCCCUGAAAAGCAAGAUUGUUCUCGAUCUUAGUAACAUACCGGUGGUUCGUGAUUUUCCAAAUAUCUUCUCGAAAGUAUCACCAGGUUGUCACCUGACCGUUAUGUUGAGCUCGUGAUCAAGUUGGUUUAUCCUGUAAACCACCCUUUCUCCAAGAAUCCGUGUUGGAUACCCCUGAGCUAGUUGGUUAAGCUAUGCAUCAACUUGGAGAGUUGGAAGAUAGAAGCUUGUCCGGUAUAGUUCAUUAUAAGGGAUGUCUUGUAUGUGUGUUGAAGAAAGUUGAUAUUUCAUCGACUGACCCUCGUGAUCAGUUGCUGGACCUAUUGUCUUAUCAAUCCUUUGAUUUGAGUGUGGGCUAUCGUCAAAUCAAAUCAGUACCAACGAUGCUCGUAAUGUUGUCUUACUCGUGGUUGAUCCCUGAGCAUCCACCAUUACAUCUUUGGUCUGACCAAUGCUAUCACCGUGUUCACAUGAUGGUGGAAGUCCAGUGAUAUGGAAAUUCCGGUGAGUUGUUGUUGAGCCCAUCAGUAGCAUUUUGUCUCCCCCCAUGAAUCAUGUUGAACAUCAACCUAGUGUUGAAAAUUUUGUAAGCAAUGCCUUCGUGCUCCGUUCAUGAAGCCUAUGUUUGGAUGAAAGUAGUGACUUCCUCUAAUUCAUGUGCAUCUGAUGUAAGUUGCCGCCAUGAAUUCGAGGAAGAUUGUUUUGUUUCCUUUGGAAUCAUCCCAAAUCAGUCAUGCAUACGUGCGAAGUAUUCUGUGGUUCGGAGACUUGCAACCUCCAUUCUAUAUGUGUCCCUAGCACACUAAGCCACUGAUUGACUUGUUCAAGGAAAAGAAGUCUAUGCUUGGGAUCUAAUCCAUGGACUUGCGUAAAGACUUCGAUAUCCUCGAUGAUGGUUCCCUACUAGAACUCGGUAGUGUUUUUAUUAUAAGACUACCAUGUGAUCAUGUUUGUCUGGGACAGCGUGUUCACACGUGUGUAGCAGAACCGGCUCGUGUUUUUGGAGCUUGCUAUCAUAGUUCAUUCCCCGAGAAUCUCGCAACGUCAUCUCGUCGAUUUGUGUUGCAAACUUUCGUUUUUCUUCCUAGACUCGAUGAGUCUGGAAUAUGCUGACACCAACCAGAUCUGAAUCUCAGGCAGAUAUGAUGGUUUGGAACAUUCCCAAGAACUAUAAUAUCGGUCCCUCGGAAACCGGUAAAGUGAAUGUCGUGGCCAACACACCCCGCCGGGAGACCUAUUAUUGUAGUAUCUUGAUUGGAGAAGUUGGCCACCUUCCCAUAAGGACUUCGUAGGAUUUACCUCCGUAACUGUUCCUUAUGGAUUCUAUUGCUCCCGAAGUCCGACUUUUACUUGAUGUUCUAGUUAUCAAACCAUAUCUAUGAAUGGGAUACACUAGCACGUCAAGGAGAACAUUAGAAGCGGAGUGCUAAAUGUGUCUCGGUCGAUCAUCCAGCUUUUAUUUCCUUGGCCCCGCCAAGGGUGAAAUCUGAGAAAGUGUUAUCCUCCUUUGCAUCUGCAUCGUCCAUCGCUAUUCAUCAUGAUAGUAUGUUGUGUUGUUAGCACCCUUGACACGGAUGUUGAUAAAACCUUGAUGAUUGUGGAAAUGCUCAAGUUCUUGAGAGCACGCACAAGCGCUACAUGUUAUCAUCGGCUCUAACUGGGAUUCCUCUCAGUUUCCUCGGCAAUGCUAUGACCUUUUCAAACAGUGAAUUCACUCUUUAUUGUUGGGUUCUUCCCCAGUUACCAGAAUCAUUCCCAGCAUUUGCAUUUUGUUCCCAGCUUGCACCGCCAAUGUGCCAUUCUACCAUGGGUCUCUUCCAUUUCCGGUGGUAAGCAAAUUCAUCCAUUACGUUGUCUUCAACAAGGUAAUCCACAUCAUCCAAGUCCGAGUAUGCCAUUCUACCGACCCCUUCCAAACGAUCGCUCGAGAAUUGCCUUAGGCUGGUUUAAAGAGUUUCAAUGAUCUCUGAAUCAAAGGUAAUUCUUUUUGCCACUUAAGGGGAUAUAUCUACGAGUCACCAUCCCUAAGGUGCCUCGUUGUGGUAUCAUGGCAACUCAACUCCUCGCUACGUUGACAACCAUUCACCACCCCUCGUAAGUGUGGAAUUAUUGUCUACCUAGUGAACCUUCGUCAUCUAUUCCACUCCAUCCUCUAGAUGUGUGCUUCGUCUCUCAGCUCGAGAGAUGUUGCUAUGUCUCAUUCCGAGAGUUAAUCCUGAGUUGUUCGACCUUCGAGAAGAUUGAUCCAUCUAGAGUCUCCCUCUUCUCUCCUUGUCAUGUUAGCUGGAGUUCUCAGAGCAAGACGACAAGACAAAGAUGGUGAUUGAAUCAACGUUCAGUUGAAGUGCAACCUAGAUCGUGAAGAUUGUGUUAGUUUGCAUUCCCCUUUCAUCUUACCCUACGCUUGAAUCUCGGGACGAGAUUUUUGUUUAGUGGGGGUGAGUUGUCACAGCCCUUGCCUGACUCUGCAUAAGCAUUCAUGCAUCAUGUCUAAAUUCAAAUGAAAUUUUGAAUUGGGGAUGUUCAAACCCUAGCAGAUAAUAAUUUUAACUAGGUUCAAUUCAAAUAUUUUCAUUGGACCCAAAAUGCCCUCCAAAAAUGUUCAUUAUUUCUGGGAAAAGGUUAAAACCUUAAUCAGAGGUCAUGCACAUUUUUCCAAUGCAUUUAUGGUUUUUGAAUUAAUUCAUAAUUGUAUUUGAGUUGGAGCAAAUAAAUUCUAUAAAUAUUUUUAUUGCUCCAAUAAUCCUGGAAUAUUUUGUGGAGCUCUAGGAUCAACCUUAAUGCAUCCACAAUAAUUUCCAGAGAGCUGCAAAAUAAUUUGGUUAAGAAACCAACUUAAAACAAAAACUGCAAAAUAGAAAACAGAAAUUAAAUUAGAGGAGAGAGAGAGACCUACCUGGCGCCUACCUGUGCGGCCUGCUGCAGAAGCCGGCCCAGCCCAUCUCCACUUUCCCCUGUCGUCUUCCCCGCGCCAGUAGGCAGCGCGCGUGGCCGACGGGUGCCGACGCUGCCUCGGCCACCUCCUGCUUCCCCGGCCACCUCCUGCUUCCCCGGCCCCUUCUAGCGACGCCUGGAGGCGCCACGCAGCCCCCUGGUCCCUCUUGCUCACUCCCUCGAGCUCAUCCCCCUCCUCUGUUCUCUCUCUCGCACGCAGCCACCGAACCCACCCGCCGCCGCUGUUCGUUGCCGCUGUGGCCACAGCCACUGCCUCGCCCCGCCGAUGCUCUUAGAGGCGCCGCCGCCACCUACUCUCCCUCCUCUCCGAGCUACACAAGCCAGGACGGCCCCAAGACGACGCUUGCGGCCUUCUUCUCCGACCACGGCCGCCGGAUGCCGCCGUCCGAUUCGCCGUCUACACCGCCUCCCCGAGCACGCCGACCUUCUCUUCGAACUCACCGUGGGCCCCUGUCCAUUUCCCCUCUCUCCCUGUGCCCGUCCGCGCCUUCUAACCACCGUGGCUGUCGAAGCCGACAGUUCCUCGCCGUCGGCGAUGACGCAGACGAGGCUAGAGCCACCGUAGCUAACUCCCGAGCACGGCAAUGUGCUCAGCACUCUUCCAGGAGCCGGGCGCGCCCACCCGUGCGACCUGCCGUGCCCCCUAGCGCCAACCCCGACCUCGCCCGUGCUCCGGCCGCCGCCUUGUUCGCCGCCGUCGCCAAGUCCGACCUCCCCAGCACGAACGGAUGCCACGAUUCGAUGCGCGCGAGCCUGGGCAUCCCGUAGAGCCCCUCCGCCGCUCUUUUGGUCAUCGGAGGGCGAAUCCCGACGCUCUCCGCCGUCCCUGGCCUCGCCGGCGACGAGCCUCGGGUCAACUCCGGUGAGUUUGACCCGGGUUUGACCCCAGUUUGACUCCCCCUGACUCAAUGACAGGUGGGGCCCAGCUCUGUUAGUUAAUUAGGAUUAGUACUAAUUGAAUUAGUUAAACUAAUUACCCCUGCUGACACUGACAGUGGGCCCCGUGGCUAUUAAUUUGAUUAGUUAGAAUUAAUUAACUCUGUUAGUCACUUGUGUCACUGACGUGUGGACCCCGCUGGUCAGGUUUGACCCGGACCAGCCCCUGUUGACCUGUGACGUCAUGCCAACGUCAUGCUGACGCAAUAAUUCCUUUCUGGAAUUUAAAUAAAUCUUAAAUGAUUUAAUAUUUUCAGAAAAUGUCCAAAACUUCUAAAAAUCAUAUAAAAUCAACCGUAACUCCAAAUGAGAUAAAUUAUAUAUGAAAAAUUAUCAGAAAAAUUCAAGGAACCCAUCUGUACCAUUUUCAUGCAUGUUUGAACAAUGUUUGUCCUCUGUUUUGGACAAAACAAAUAAAGGGCAUUUAAAUAACCAUAUAUGGAGUUGGAAUUUGAAUCAUGUAUUCGAACCAACUUCAUUUAAAUCAUAGCUAGGUGCAUUAGCCCAAAACACAUUCAUAUUGCCAUGUCAUAGCAUGCAUCAUAUUGUGCAUUGCAUUGAUCGUGUUUCUUCUGUGUUUGCCGGUGUUGUUCCCCCUCGAUAGACGUUGUACCGCUGAUGUGAUCGUUGACACUAAUGAAGACUCAAUGCUAUCUUCAGAAGUGCCAGGCAAGCAAACCCUCCUUGUUCAUUCCGAUACAAUCCUACUCUCUUGCUCCUGCUCUCUUUUACUGCAUUAGGACAACAACGAUUCAUCUGUUACUUGCUGCGGUAGCUGAACCCCUUUAUCCUCUGCAUGACCUGUCAUUGCCACAGUAAAUAGAUGAAACCCACUAGCAUGAGUAGGAGUUGUUUGAGCCUGUUGUGCCUACUCAUUCAUGCUUGUUUGUCAUGCCUGCUACUGCUUAGAGUUGAGUCAGGUCUGAUUCAUCGGGGAUGAAUCGGAGGUGUGUAAACACGUCCUUCUGUGUGUGAGCUAAGUGUGUGAACACGAUUUGGUAAAGGUAGCGGUGAGAGGCCAUGUAGGAGUACAUGGUGGGUUGUCUCAUUGCAGCCGUCCUCAGGAACUGAGUUCUGUGUUUGUGAUCCAUGAUUCAGCUACUACCACGCAUUGGGCCCGAAACCAAUGGACCCUCUCGGCUUCUUAAUCACCCUUGUCCUCUGUCCAAGAGUUGCAAGUAGUUUCUGGUGUUUGUAGUAUGCUGGAGGCCGUGGGCAGCGCUGACCGGAGGGGUGGGCUGUGAUGCGGUAGGCACGUGGCACGGUGUACCGGGCGCCCGUUUGGUGUCUCGGGAACCCUGUUCACAUCGUUUGGGGCUGUGAGCGAAACCCCGGCCGGAUCUCAUGGAUGGAACCCGAAUAGGCGAUAAACCUGGACUAGAGACUUGAGUGUUUAGGUAGGCCGUGGCCGACACCCACGUUGGGCUUCCGCUUGAAGGUUGCCGAGUACAUGUCGUGUAAACGGCGGUAAGUGGUGAGAGCGUGUGUGAAGAAGUACACCCCUGCAGGGUUAACAUCAUCUAUUCGAAUAGCCGUGUCCGCGGCAAAGGACUUCUUGGUUGCUUAUAUCAGUUCAUAGACAAGUGAAAGUGGAUACUUUAAAAUACGCAAGAUAAGCGUGAGUGCUACGGAUGGCGUUCUCGUAGGGAGACGGGAGCGGAUCCAUAGUGGUGUAUUGAUAUGGUGAAUAUGUGGACUCGUGUGCGCCACCUCAAAAGAGUCGCUUGCAGUCGUAGUUUAGGUUAACCACCGAGUCAAAGUUGGCUUGCUGCAGUUAAACCCCACCAUCCCCUUUGUUGAUAAUGAUGCAUAUGUAGUUAGUUCUGAUGUAAGUCUUGUUGGGUACAUUUGUACUCACGUUUGCCUAUUUUAUGUUUUUGCAGAGAGACUUCAGUCUCACUAGUAGUUUCGCGUGGACUUCGACGUUUAGCUUGUUACCUCAGCUACGAUCUUGUGCCUCGGCAAGAUUUGGUAGAUAGUCAGGCUUCUCAGCCUUUUUCAUUUAUAGAUGUCUGUACUCAGACAUGAUAGCUUCCGCUUGUGUUUUGACUUGUAUGCUCUGAAUGUUGGGUCGUAGGACCCCUGUUUGUAAUAUCUCGCUCCUCGGAGCCUAAUGAAUAAAUACUUGAGUUGUAGAGUCAUGUUGUGAUGCCAUGUUGUAUUUGCACAUAUCGAGCAUAUUGUGUGUAUGUUAUUGAAAUGCUUGGUAUGUGUGGGAUCUGACUAUCUAGUUGUUUAUCUUUAGUAGCCUCUCUUACCGGGAAAUGUCUCCUAGUGUUUCCACCGAGCCAUGGUAGCUUGCUACUGCUCCGGAACACUUAGGCUGGCCGGCAUGUGUCCUUCUUCGUCCCUGUGUCUGUCCCCUCGGGGAAAUGUCACGCGAUGAAUACCGGAGUCCUGUUAGCCCACUACAGCCCGGUUCACCGGAGUCCUGCUAGCCCAGAGCUACAACCUGGAUUCACUCGCUGAUGACCGACACGUUCGAUGCUGGGUCAUGGAUGCCUGUCCCUGUAAGUUUGUGCCACUUUGGGUUUACGACUAGCCAUGUCAGCCCGGGCUCCUUAUCAUAUGGAUGCUAGCGACACUAUCAUAUACGUGUGCCAAAAGGCGCAAACGGUCCCGGGCAAAGGUAAGGCGACACCCGUGGAAUACCGUGCGUGAGGCCGCAAAGUGAUAUGAGGUGUUACAUGCUAGAUCGAUGUGGCAUUGAGUCGGGGUCCUGACACUUGUUGAGAGAAACCAAGCAUGUGAGUGAUUUAGUAGCAGGGACAAAUAACAGAGAAGGGAAUGACCUGGAGACAAGCGAUGUCGAUGAGCCCGUCGUCGUAGUCGACGACAGAGCAGUGCUACAACCAGAUGUCCAAGGAUCCGCGAUUGUUGUGGAUGCCCUCGAUGUCGUGGCUGCGGCCGGCCUCGAACUGGACUGAAAUAAUUCAAAAUUAGUACCGACGACAUUUGGCAGCAGUAAAAUACUAAUGCAUCUAAUUAUGAUGCCAUAUGUGGCCAGUAAACAAACUUAGAUGUGCUCCAGAUGUGCUCAACUAAUAACCAAAGUAAAUAUGGCCAAUAAUAUAACCUCUCCCUUUUGGUUUUGCCUUGCAUCAUGCCAAGAUAAGAAUAGCAAAAGGAUGUAACUUUCCUAGCCUAGUCCUGGGUGAAGAACUGACGAUAGGUAGAAAGCCUCGAUUUGAACAACAAAGUAUAAAUUGUACGGAAAAAGUAUUACCAUUAUAUUUAUAUAGGAAAGAAGUUUCUGAUGGUACAUUUUGUAGGCAUAUAACAUAUAUUUUGUUGGUCAAGUCCAUGAUCAGGGUUCAGAAAUUAGAUUUGAUAUGGGGCUUAUAGAAGGGGAAAAUGGAAAUUAUGGUCGCCAGUUAGUAUUGGGGCUUGAUUUUUACUGGUGGUACAUAAGAUCCACCAUUAGUUUCCUUGGAAUUGGAGGGGCAGUAAAUUGCUUUUGGAGAUACGAGUGAAGCAACACACUAGCAGAAGACAAUGGAGGAACAAGAAAGCAGAAAACACCCGGUUCUGUUUACAUAAAUGUUGCUACUUUGCUUUAGUCCAGCCAAGUAAAAAAGAGAGGCAGAGUGAAACUGGAAAUGUUCUAAAAAAGUGAAACUGGAAACAAAAUAAAAGAGGUUCCCAUCCUGUAACGCACUGCAACCAAAGCCUGGACACCAUUGUCUUUCUGUUCAUGCGACCGUCCAUCUGCAUAUAAACUGGCGAAGGAGAUCGGUCGAGGCAGAGACUUGUUACCUUGUUGCAGGGGCCAUUGUUUUAACAGGAAGCAUUAGCUUUGAUGACGUGCAAAUGAAAACUGAAUCUGCAAGCCCGUUUCAUUCGUUCUUUCUGUGUACGCAGCAACCUAUGUACUUGUACAUGGCUUGUCCAUAGUUCUCCAAACGCUAGAUCUGAAAUUAGAAAUGUGUCUUUGUGAUGCUUUUGGGACAACAGUUUAGAAAUCCCAAUUCUGAAAAAUGGGUUAUAUUUAGUUUAUUUUCUGCUUGAGACAUCAAGUAUGAUUUGUUACUGCUUCGUUUUUAAAUUAGAAUGUGCCAAAAAAUAGAAAUUAGCUACCAUAUCAGAAAAUCACUUAAUCCAGAGUACAAUUCAAAUUCAGAUUAACCAAUAGAAGCCUAGUCACUGAAUAACCAAUAGAAACUCAUGCAAGGUUUUGAUAUAAAUGGCACAAGAAAAAUUGAACAGUUCACUUAUCAACCAGCCUACCUGCGGCUUCACUGAAUAUCUUUGCAUUCUUUCCCCAUUGUCUUCAUCCUUGCAGCUAACCAAAAUGGUUGUAGUACCCUGAAACAUUUUAUGCUCGAAGUUAAUGAGAGUUCAUUUACACCAUAAAGAAAUUCAGAAUUGGCUUGCAGCCACAUGCUUUGUUAAAUUAACAUUAUGUAAUGUUUCAGCAGGACCGAGGACAUAAUUCAGCAUGUUUUAUGUUGACAUUUAAUAUGACAAUUUUCUGGAUUUGCCGGCAUGAAAAUAUAAGCAUAUUGGGUGGACAUAAUUACUCAUUUGUGAGAUACAUUACUAAAUUUAUCAACAAUGAUAUGAGUUCCUAGUACGAGGAAACAUCCUAUACAUAAGGAACAACAUACUUGGACUUAUCCAGAAGGAGUGAAUCAACUUGAAUAAUAAGAUUUUUUUUAUCGAGAGAGAAACUUGAAUAAUAAUUUAAGAAAAACUUGAAACAUCACCUAUGAUGGGGGCUCAUCAGCACACCGGUCUGUGGCCUCUCUCUUCUCCCUUUCUCCAUACCAAGAACAUCGUGUCCCGCUUCCAGCCCACGCGCCGCCCGCCACGUGGGUCGGCUCGAGGUUGCGUCAGUGUGUGCA
rnacentral:lncRNA from 1 species